CGGCGGACGGGUGAGUAACGCGUGGGUAACCUGCCUCAUACAGGGGGAUAACAGUUAGAAAUGACUGCUAAUACCGCAUAAGACCACGGUACCGCAUGGUACAGUGGUAAAAACUCCGGUGGUAUGAGGUGGACCCGCGUCUGAUUAGGUAGUUGGUGGGGUAACGGCCUACCAAGCCGACGAUCAGUAGCCGACCUGAGAGGGUGACCGGCCACAUUGGGACUGAGACACGGCCCAG
rnacentral:rRNA from 1 species